GACGAACGCUGGCGGCGUGCCUAAUACAUGCAAGUCGAACGCAGUGGGGACGGGUGAGUAACACGUGGGUAACCUCCCAUCAGAGGGGAUAACACUUGGAAACAGGUGCUAAACCGAUACUGAUGGAUGGACCCGCGGUGCAUUUGGUAGUGGGUGAGGUAACGGCUUACCAAGGCCACGAUGCAUAGCCUGCAUGAGAGGGGGAUCGUCCACACGGGGACUGAGACACGGCCCAGACUCCUACGGGAGGCAGCAGUAGGGAAUCGUCGGCAAUGGACGAAAGUCUGACCGAGCAACGCCGCGUGAGUGAAGAAGGUUUUCGGGUCGUAAAACACUGUUGUUGGAGAAGCGGUAUCUAACCAGAAAGCCACGGCUAACUACGUGCCAGCCGCCGCGGUAAUAC
rnacentral:rRNA from 1 species